AUAUCUCUCUGUACGGGAAGGAUGAGAAGCUUCGACUAAGGUUCGAUUCGAGCGAAAGCGAGAAAGCGUUGCCGCAGGCAACGACCCGAAGGGCGAAACGCGCGCAGCGCUGAGUCAUCCUUCCCCCACCACCA
rnacentral:sRNA from 1 species